UACGUAGGGCGCAAGCGUUGUCCGGAUUUAUGGCGUAAAGAGCGUGUAGGCGGCCAAACAGGUCAGCUGUGAAACUCGACGGCUCCAACCUCGGAGACGUCGGUUGAAACCGUUUGGCUAGAGUCCGGAAGAGGGAGGAGUGGAAGUUCCCGGUGUGAGCCGGUGAAAUGCGCAGAUAUCGGGGAAGAACACCCGUGGCGAAGGCGGCUCUCUCGGGCCUGUACGUGACGCUGAGGAGCGAAAGCGUGGGAGCGAACGAGG
rnacentral:rRNA from 1 species